rfam:Calothrix sp. PCC 7507, complete genome.
UAACCGGCUCUUUUCAGAGCCAGCACUGUAUGGGAACCAAUAUAU